rnacentral:rRNA from 1 species
CAGUAGCCACGGGAAUACGAAGGGGGCUAGCGUUGUUCGGAUUUACUGGGCGUAAAGCGCACGUAGGCGGACCUUUAAGUCAGGGGUGAAAUCCCGGGGCUCAACCCCGGAACUGCUUUUGAUACUGGGAGUCUUGAGUUCGAGAGAGGUGAGUGGAAUUGCGAGUGUAGAGGUGAAAUUCGUAGAUAUUCGCAGGAACACCAGAGGCGAAGGCGGCUCACUGGCUCGAUACUGACGCUGAGGUGCGAAAGCGUGGGGAGCAAACAGGAUUAGAUACCCCCGUAGUCCCUGUCUCUUAUAC